rnacentral:rRNA from 1 species
UACGUAGGGUGCAAGCGUUAAUCGGAAUUACUGGGCGUAAAGCGUGCGCAAGCGGUUUUGUAAGUCUGACGUGAAAUCCCCGGGCUCAACCUGGGAAUUGCGUUGGAGACUGCAAGGCUAGAAUCUGGCAGAGGGGGGUAGAAUUCCACGUGUAGCAGUGAAAUGCGUAGAGAUGUGGAGGAACACCGAUGGCGAAGGCAGCCCCCUGGGUCAAGAUUGACGCUCAUGCACGAAAGCGUGGGGAGCAAACAGG